rnacentral:rRNA from 1 species
CUACGGGAGGCAGCAGCGAGGAAUUUUCCGCAAUGGGCGAAAGCCUGACGGAGCAACGCCGCGUGGGGGAAGAAGGCCCUCGGGUUGUAAACCCCUGUUGCGAGGGAAGAAGAUCUGACGGUACCUCGCGAGGAAGCCACGGCUAACUACGUGCCAGCAGCCGCGGUAAUACGUAGGUGGCAAGCGUUGUCCGGAUUUACUGGGCGUAAAGCGCGCGCAGGCGGACUGGUUAGUCUGGGGUGAAAUCUCGCGGCUCAACUGUGAGAGGUCCCUGGAUACUGCCAGUCUUGAGGGGCCCAGAGGAGAGUGGAAUUCCGGGUGUAGUGGUGGAAUGCGUAGAUAUCCGGAGGAACACCAGUGGCGAAAGCGGCUCUCUGGGGGCAACCUGACGCUGAGGCGCGAAAGCGUGGGGAGCGAACCGGAUUAGAAACCCUAGUAGUCC